AAAAAUGAUUUUUCUAGUUUAUGAGCCCUAAAAUUUCUAUGUACUUUGGAUUUUCACCAUUUUUUAUCAACACCUUCUUUUUGUGAUCCGUCAAGGAGGGGUCCUAGAUAUGUAAGUUAUCUACUAAACCCAAGUAGUAGCACUCAAAAAUAUUGAGUACACAUGUCGUAGUGACUAAUUUAGCAAAAACUGUUUUGUGUCUUUUAAGGAAAAUUGACUAUUUUUGGACAGUCAAGAGUAGGGGCUGUUUAGUCAUUUUUUUGGCAUUCAAAAAUUCUGGGAAAAUUUGGGAGGAUAAUAUGAUAAGUUUUCUAACAUCUCCAAGUGGAAUCACUGAAAAAGGAGUUGUAGAUUUUCGUAUGGAAUAUUUUUAAAAAAGUACGAAAACCAUGUUUUUCCAAUUUUGCUACUGCCAAGGAUUUUUCAAGGGCUGUUUCGGAAACUUAAAUUAUGAAAUAAAUUCUGGCCUUUUGGGACAUAAAAAUAUAUGGUAUUAAGUACCUCCUAUCCAAAAAUGAGCUCAUUCCGACUUAAAAUGACCAAGUUAUGACCAUUUCAAUUUUGGUAAUUUUCCGACUAAAACGGCUAUAACCGGAGUUCUAUAACUCCGAUGGCCACGAAAUUUAAACUGGAGCCUCACGUUAACACGUAUAAGAUUGUGUCAUAAGAUGGAAAUUUCUGGAGUUAAGCACGAGGUAGCUAAUUUCUUAAGGAAUUUACUAAAACUGAUUUUUGAAAAAUACCAAAGGAAGUUGGAAAAUUUUGAAAAAAUACUUUUUGUGUAUGAAAUAUAUGUAUAUGUGUUUGGGCAAAAGAUAGAGAAAUAAUAAGUUGUUUUAGUAUUUUCGUGUAAAGGAUAUGGAAUCCAUCUUGCUGGAUUGAAAAAUUUGAUGAAUCUAGCUUGCUAGAUUGAAAAGAAGCAUACUGAAUUAAAGUAUUUGGAAUCCAGUCUGCUGGAUUGGCAAUUUGGUUGCUAAAUUUAGAAUUCAGGUUGCUGGAUUAGUAUUUGACUUAUUAUAUGAUAAGGAAUAACUUAUGAAAUGAAAAAG
rnacentral:lncRNA from 1 species